ACUCCAUCUUACUCCAUCUGAGGCAAAGACAAAGAAGGUAAGUAUGAGCUUCUGAAUUGUAAAGAAGGUGACUUAGAGUAGGCUGCGAUCUAAAGAAGCUACAUACUAUUUCUGCAUCUAACAUCACUUAUUUUGUCAUUCAAACAUUAUUUAUCUGUUUCAUCAACCAUUAUCUUUUGUUCUCUCCUAUUAACCCACAAAAACCACCUGAGCUGCUGCUGUUCAAUGGAUGAAAAAGGUAUGAGCUUUUGAAUAUUCAUUAGAGACAGCCAUAUAUGUUAUCAUCUAAACUUGUUUUAUGUAUUGAGUAAAAUUGAAUGAACAAAGAAUACUUGUCUAACUAACCUUUUUUUAAUCUUACUUUAACUUACUCAACCGCCUGAGUUACUGUUGUUCACUAUAGUCAAAAAAAGGUGAGUGUGAGCGUCUGAUGUGUGAAGAAAGAGACUUAAAAUAGGCUGUAACAUAAAGACAGAUUGUGUAAACUAGCUACAUAGUGUAUGGAUUCUUAUUUAGAAGUUCAGAGGUGAUUUGUCUGUCUUACUCACCAUUAUCUAUUGUUCUCUACUCUUAUCUUACUCCACCACCGCUGAGUGUUCCUGUAGUUCAGCGGCUCCUUCCCGACAGAGAAGAAAUGUUUAUUUCCGACCAGGGCAGGACUCUUCCUGGAGCCCCGAGAGUGGACGUCAACCGAAAUACACAAAGCCAGCAGCAUCACACAGCCAAUGUGAUGUGAGGACGCUCCAGCAGCACAGCAGUCCACUCAGCACACUGAACCCGCCUUCAGCACCACACUUUCUACACUCCACUGCUUUCAUGUUGAAUUCAGUUAAAUAAAAAAAAAUACUCAACAUGUAAAA